rnacentral:rRNA from 1 species
UACAGAGGAGCCAAGCGUUGUCCGGAUUGACUGGGCGUAAAGCGCACGCAGGCGGAUGCGCGCGUGGGGUGUGAAAUCUGGCCGCUUAACGGCCAGGCGCCAUCCCAUACGGCGCGUCUGGAGCCUUGCAGAGGUCGGUGGAAUUGCCGGUGUAGUGGUGAAAUGCGUAGAGAUGUGGAGGAACACCGAUGGCGAAGGCAGCCCCCUGGGCUAACACUGACGCUCAUGCACGAAAGCGUGGGGAGCAAACAGG